GGUCGGUCCCAGUGCAGUGGUGUUUACAACUAAUUGAUCACAACCAGUUACAGAUUCCUUUGUUCCUUCUCCACUCCCACUGCUCCUCUUGACCAGCCUUUA
ensembl:misc_RNA Y_RNA Y RNA